CUACGGGUUGCUGCAGUGAGGAAUAUUGCGCAAUGGGGGAAACCCUGACGCAGCGACGCCGCGUGGAGGAUGACGCAUUUCGGUGUGUAAACUCCUUUUAUAUGUCAAGAAAAUGACGGUAGCAUAUGAAUAAGCACCGGCUAACUCCGUGCCAGCAGCCGCGGUAAUACGGAGGGUGCAAGCGUUACUCGGAAUCACUGGGCGUAAAGGACGCGUAGGCGGGUUGGAAAGUCAGGUGUGAAAUCCUACAGCUUAACUGUAGAACUGCACUUGAAACUUCUAAUCUAGAGUAUGGGAGGGGGAGAUGGAAUUAGUGGUGUAGGGGUAAAAUCCGUAGAUAUCACUAGGAAUACCUAAAGCGAAGGCGAUCUCCUGGAACAUUACUGACGCUAAGGCGUGAAAGCGUGGGGAGCAAACAGGAUUAGAUACCCGAGUAGUC
rnacentral:rRNA from 1 species